rnacentral:rRNA from 1 species
CCUACGGGAGGCAGCAGUGGGGGAUAUUGCACAAUGGGGGAAACCCUGAUGCAGCGACGCCGCGUGAGUGAAGAAGUAUUUCGGUAUGUAAAGCUCUAUCAGCAGGGAAGAAAAUGACAGUACCUGACCAAGAAGCCCCGGCUAACUACGUGCCAGCAGCCGCGGUAAUACGUAGGGGGCAAGCGUUAUCCGGAUUUACAGGGUGUAAAGGGAGCGUAGACGGGUAUGUAAGUCUGGAGUGAAAGCCCGGGGCCCAACCCCGGGACGGCUUUGGAAACUGUGUAACUGGAGUGCAGGAGGGGCAGGCGGAAUUCCUGGUGUAGCGGUGAAAUGCGUAGAUAUCAGGAGGAACACCGGCGGCGAAGGCGGCCUGCUGGACUGAAACUGACGUUGAGGCGCGAAAGCGUGGGGAGCAAACAGGAUUAGAUACCCGUGUAGUC